rnacentral:rRNA from 1 species
GACGAACGCUGGCGGCGUGCUUAACACAUGCAAGUCGAACGAUGAAGCGGUGCUUGCACCGUGGAUUAGUGGCGAACGGGUGAGUAAUACGUGAGUGACCUACCUUUGACUCUGGGAUAAGCCGGGAAACUGGGUCUAAUACCGGAUACGACCAAUCUCUGCAUGGGGUGUUGGUGGAAAGCGUUAUGGAGUGGUUUUAGAUGGGCUCACGGCCUAUCAGCUUGUUGGUGAGGUAAUGGCUUACCAAGGCGACGACGGGUAGCCGGCCUGAGAGGGUGACCGGCCACACUGGGACUGAGACACGGCCCAGACUCCUACGGGAGGCAGCAGUGGGGAAUAUUGCACAAUGGGCGCAAGCCUGAUGCAGCGACGCCGCGUGAGGGAUGACGGCCUUCGGGUUGUAAACCUCUGUUAGCAUCGAAGAAGCGAAAGUGACGGUAGGUGCAGAGAAAGCGCCGGCUAACUACGUG